GGGUGGAGCCGCGGAGUCGUCCUCAUGGCCGCCGCGCCUGAGCCCAGUGAGCCCAAGGAGAGGAAGGCCUUUAAGCUCCUAGGAUUUUUAGAUGUUGAAAAUACUCCCUGCGCCCGGGAUUCAAUAUUGUAUGGUUCAUUAGGAUCUGUUGUGGCUGGCUUUGGACAUUUUUUGUUCACUAGUUUCAUUGUAGGUAUAAUUAUGCAAAGCAAAGAAUCCGGGAAAGAAUUGCCAGAGAAGAAAUUAAAAAGAAGAUAUUAUAUGAAGGUACCCACCUCGAUCCUGAAAGAAAACACAACGGCAACAGCAGCAAUUGAACAAUCUUGAGCUUAGAAAAGUCGAUGUGAACGAAGUUAAUUAAGAUCAACCACACAAAACAUUUCAUGUGCAAUAAGCUCUCAAUCAAGUAAAUAAAGUUUAAGUUGUAGUCA